UAUAACAGUGACACCAGCACCUACAAAAAAGCAAACAGCACCAUCAGGAGGAGCAGGCGGAGACUUUAAACUGGAGGAUUUCUUUAACGAUGUCACCACCACCACCACCAAAGUCCCACCCAAGGUUUUCCCCAGGGUCCCUGCAGCCACCAAGGCCCCAGCGAAGCCCAAACCCAAGCCAGCCAGUGAUGACUUUAACCUGGCUGAUGCCUUAGACCCCAGCAAUGACAUUAAUGGCAAGGAUAAGAACGUGGGGAAG